rnacentral:rRNA from 1 species
GACAGAGGGUGCAAACGUUGUUCGGAAUUACUGGGCGUAAAGCGCGUGUAGGCGGCAUGACAAGUCGGGUGUGAAAGCCCUGGGCUCAACCCAGGAAGUGCACUCGAUACUGCCAUGCUGGAGUCUCGGAGAGGGUGGUGGAACUCUCGGUGUAGAGGUGAAAUUCGUAGAUAUCGAGAAGAACACCGGCGGCGAAGGCGGCCACCUGGACGAUGACUGACGCUGAGACGCGAAAGCGUGGGGAGCAAACAGG